GCCCGGGUAGCACAGUGGUAGCUGCGCCUGCCUAGUGAGCAGGAGGUCCGCGGUUCGAUCCCGCGUCUGGGCA
rnacentral:tRNA from 1 species